rnacentral:lncRNA from 1 species
AGGUGUGCUGGAGUUUGCUGGAGGUCCACUACAGACCCUGUUUUCCUCGGUAUCACCAGCGGAGGCUGCAGAAAGCAAAGGUUGCUGCCUGCUUCUUCCUCUGGAAGCUUCGUCCCAGAGGGGCACCCACCAGAUGCCAGCCGGAGUUGUCCUGUAUGAGUUGCCUGCCAUCUAGUGGAUGUAAUGCAGUCAAGUCAGCAAGUGCUUUCUUUCAAAGCAAUCAACGGUGCUUAUUGAGUCAUGCAAUAAUGUCAUUUGAAUAAAAACAAGGCCAGGAGCUUAUCCUACAGCACACCCCCAGAAUAAAACCAUCUCUGGUGAAGACUUAAAGGAACUAUGAAAAGACAAAAACCAGAUCAUUUUUGUGCUUGGCUAAUCAAAAACCAAUUCCUUUUAAAGCCAAGCACAUUAAAUAAAAAGGGAAUUGCUAUUUUUAUGCUGUCUUUGCAUGUUCUUGUGCUUAGUCUACAAAUAACUUUAUUUUGCUUCAAC